UGGCUUUAAAAAGACCACUAGGGGUCCCCAUACCAUCCAGAUCAUAAUGCUGUCCGGCUGCAGCAUCAUCUUUAUUCCAGGCUGGAACAAAGUCCAGAAAGUGAGGGCGGGACUAGCGCUCCUCUGUGCUCACUCCUGUCCUGUCUGUCAGACUGCAGCAUGAAAACAGAGAGGAGGGGUUUACAGAGCUGCCUGCAGUGGUUGAAUGAAGAGACCCAGCACAGCACAGCAGACUCAGGGAAGAAGUGAAUGCACGGUGAGGGAGGGCAGCCUCAGUGCUUGCCUCGGACACGCCCCCUUCCUGAGCAGUGGAUGUCAGAAUGAGUAAGCAGCAGUGAGGCAUUUUCGAGCCAAAUACAGAAACUAGACACAUAAAAAGAAAUGUAAAGAAUCUGCAUGACCUAGAACUUCAACAGAUCGUCUCCAUUCACCUGUGCACGUGACUAUAUAUCUCCUCCUUCAUUUGUGACGUCGUGCCGAGAUUUGGUGGUAACGUGAGUGAUGUCAUUACAAAGUACAAUUGGUGGCGCAAAAAGAACAAGCUCUCAUAUGGGUCUGUAGGCUAUUAGAAGGCGAGGAGAGAAAAAACUAAAGUGCAAAAAUCCCUGCAUCCUUAAAGGGGUUGUCAGAUGGAAAACAAUAAAUAAAUAAAAAAUCAACUGG